rnacentral:tRNA from 1 species
GCCUGGGUGGCUCAGUUGGUUAAGCAUCUGACUUCGGCUCAGGUCAUGAUCUCACUGCUCGUGAGUUCGAGCCCCACGUCAGGCU